CUGACUUCUACUGGAGGUGUCCGUAGGCAGCAAUGUAAAUACUGCCUUUUCUUUGAAAUGACUGUGUUUACAUUGAAAUGCCUGCAGGGACAUGUUAUGCACAACAAGCUGCAUUAAGCUGUAUUUGUUCUGGUGACUAGUGUCCCUUUAGCCAAAUAUUUUGGUCUUAGAGAAUUUCUAACAGUGUCUGGUAAAACCUUCCACCAUGUAGCUUUGGACAGCAGUGCCAUCUGAUGGAUCUGCAGAGCAUUAAAAGUAUUUGGAAUCUUAAUGGUGUAACGUAGGAAAUUGAAAUGGGCAGAAAUAUGACCAGUUAAAGGGGUGGAUGUUCAGGUAAUGCCAUAUAGUAAGCAGUAUGACACGUGUCAUAGCUGAUGUAACUGGUUAUACACUUUUUUUAAAGCUGGGCAUAAAUUAGCGACAAACUCAUUUAAGCAGGACCUUCUUAACACUUUGC